rnacentral:rRNA from 2 species
AUCGGUGCUUGCACCGAGAUUCAACAUGGAACGAGUGGCGGACGGGUGAGUAACACGUGGGUAACCUGCCCUUAAGUGGGGGAUAACAUUUGGAAACAGAUGCUAAUACCGCAUAGAUCCAAGAACCGCAUGGUUCUUGGCUGAAAGAUGGCGUAAGCUAUCGCUUUUGGAUGGACCCGCGGCGUAUUAGCUAGUUGGUGAGGUAAUGGCUCACCAAGGCGAUGAUACGUAGCCGAACUGAGAGGUUGAUCGGCCACAUUGGGACUGAGACACGGCCCAAACUCCUACGGGAGGCAGCAGUAGGGAAUCUUCCACAAUGGACGCAAGUCUGAUGGAGCAACGCCGCGUGAGUGAAGAAGGCUUUCGGGUCGUAAAACUCUGUUGUUGGAGAAGAAUGGUCGGCAGAGUAACUGUUGUCGGCGUGACGGUAUCCAACCAGAAAGCCACGGCUAACUACGUGCCAGCAGCCGCGGUAAUACGUAGGUGGCAAGCGUUAUCCGGAUUUAUUGGGCGUAAAGCGAGCGCAGGCGGUUUUUUAAGUCUGAUGUGAAAGCCCUCGGCUUAACCGAGGAAGCGCAUCGGAAACUGGGAAACUUGAGUGCAGAAGAGGACAGUGGAACUCCAUGUGUAGCGGUGAAAUGCGUAGAUAUAUGGAAGAACACCAGUGGCGAAGGCGGCUGUCUGGUCUGUAACUGACGCUGAGGCUCGAAAGCAUGGGUAGCGAACAGGAUUAGAUACCCUGGUAGUCCAUGCCGUAAACGAUGAAUGCUAGGUGUUUGGAGGGUUUCCGCCCCUUCAGUGCCGCAGCCUAACGCAUUUAAGCAUUCCGCCCUGGGGGAGUACGACCGCCAGGGUUGAAACUCCAAAGGAUUUGACGGGGGGCCCGCACAAGCGGGGGAACCAUGUGGGUUUAAUUCCAAAGCAACCCCGAAAAAACCUUUACCAAGGUC